AACGAAUAACUAUGGUGUCUUGGUUGUCGCUGGCUCCUCGGAGCAUUGUGCACGCCCGCCAUUUUUAUCUAUCCACCUGUGCACCGAAUGUAGGUCUGGAUGACUCUCGCCUCCGGGCGGAUGCGAGGUUUGCGUGCGAGCGCUCUCCUCGAAUUUCCAGGCUCUACGUCUCUUUACACACCCCAAACGUAUGAUGCAGAAUGUAGUCAAUGGGCCUUUACAAGCCUAUAAAACACUAUACAACUUUCAGCAACGGAUCUCUUGGCUCUCGCAUCGAUGAAGAACGCAGCGAAAUGCGAUAAGUAAUGUGAAUUGCAGAAUUCAGUGAAUCAUCGAAUCUUUGAACGCACCUUGCGCUCCUUGGUAUUCCGAGGAGCAUGCCUGUUUGAGUGUCAUUAAAUUCUCAACCUCACCGGUUUUCUGAACCGUUCUCCGAGGCUUGGAUGUGGGGGUCUGUGCAGGUCGCCUCAGCGCGGUCUGCUCCCCUGAAAUGCAUUAGCGAGAUUCAUUCUGGACCUCCGUCUAUCGGUGUGAUAAUUAUCUACGUCGUUGACUUGGUUCGGACUCGCUUCUAACCGUCCGCGAGGACAACAUACUUGACAAUUUGACCUCAAAUCAGGUAGGACUACCCGCUGAACUUAAGCAUAUCAAUAAGCGGAGGAAAAGAAACUAACAAGGAUUCCCCUAGUAACUGCGAGUGAAGCGGGAAAAGCUCAAAUUUAAAAUCUGGCGGUCCUUGGCCGUCCGAGUUGUAAUCUAGAGAAGUGUUACCCGCGUCGGACCGUGUACAAGUCUCCUGGAAUGGAGCGUCAUAGAGGGUGAGAAUCCCGUCUUUGACACGGACUACCGAGGCUUCUGUGGUGCGCUCUCAAAGAGUCGAGU
rnacentral:rRNA from 1 species